rnacentral:tRNA from 1 species
UGGCUUAGUCGGUAAAGCAUUUGCCUUAUAAGCAUAGGGACCUGAGUUUAACUCCUAG